rnacentral:tRNA from 1 species
UCCCUACUAGCUCAGAUGGUAAAGCAUCUGCCUGCAAUGCAGGAGACCCAGGUUCAAUCCCUGGGUUGGGAA